rnacentral:sRNA from 1 species
CUACCACCCUUUGGCCUCGUGCUUCUAUAUUUUCUUUAUUUUUCUUUACCUCGAUCUCAUCUCCAUCUUCCUCUGUUCUCAUAUUGUCUUCUCUACCUACUUGUCUUCGUCUGUUUCUGGCUCUGCUGGCUCACCGGUCGUCUUCUUGUUAUGUUGUUAGAUUCCCAUCCCCGGCAACAAACCUUUCGCGUCAACAGCAAAAUCACAGAAACCAGGCAACCCUACCAUCAGACAAAGAUAUCCUUCAAGAUAUCGUUCCUUUCUUCCUUCUCUUCUUCUUACCAGAUUGUCCAUUCUUCCUUAUAUCUUACCUGGCUCUUAUUCACUCCCCAAACCAACCACAAACUUCCAGCCCCACCGUUUCACCCCCUGAAUCCAUCAACCUC